rnacentral:lncRNA from 1 species
CGCACCAAAUACUGUUCCUACCAUAAAGCGUUUGUUUCUCAGGGUUCUAAGCUCUCUGCAUAUUACCAAACUAAAGAAUACAACACAGGUUUCAAGUGUAGCUUCUGCAGCAAAAGGCAGGCGGGCGGGCUCAGCAACUGCAAUUACACAGUUGCUCUAGUAGCGACUAAGUUCAACCCAACAAUGUUCCAUUGCCGCUGAUUAGGUGUGGCCUCACAUGAAAACUGAACUUCUAGAAGGCACGAGGAACCCCCGGGCCCUAGAAAACCAGAUUAAACUUGUCGCUUAUUUUCCAUAUGGAUGAUACCUGCUAGAACCCCGAGCACCUGAACUCCCACCACCAGCACCACCUGCUCCACCUGCUCCCCCAUAACCGCCAUAUCCGCUGGCACCAUAGCCACCUGGGGCACCACCAUAGGCACCGCCUCCAUAUGCACCCCCUCCAUAAGCACCCCCUCCAUAGGCACCACCACCGUAGGCACCAUAUGCACCAUAAGCGCCACCAUACAUGGAACCACCAUACCCACCGCCAAAACCAGACCCAAAGCCAGCAUUGCCUCCAUAGCCAUACCCUCUACCGUAGCCAUAUCCUGCUGCUCCUGCACCACUGUCAUAUCCAUAGCCUG